CGUACCUUUUGUAUAAUGGGUCAGCGACUUAUAUUCUGUAGCAAGGUUAACCGAAUAGGGGAGCCGAAGGGAAACCGAGUCUUAACUGGGCGUUAAGUUGCAGGGUAUAGACCCGAAACCCGGUGAUCUAGCCAUGGGCAGGUUGAAGGUUGGGUAACACUAACUGGAGGACCGAACCGACUAAUGUUGAAAAAUUAGCGGAUGACUUGUGGCUGGGGGUGAAAGGCCAAUCAAACCGGGAGAUAGCUGGUUCUCCCCGAAAGCUAUUUAGGUAGCGCCUCGUGAAUUCAUCUCCGGGGGUAGAGCACUGUUUCGGCAAGGGGGUCAUCCCGACUUACCAACCCGAUGCAAACUGCGAAUACCGGAGAAUGUUAUCACGGGAGACACACGGCGGGUGCUAACGUCCGUCGUGAAGAGGGAAACAACCCAGACCGCCAGCUAAGGUCCCAAAGUCAUGGUUAAGUGGGAAACGAUGUGGGAAGGCCCAGACAGCCAGGAUGUUGGCUUAGAAGCAGCCAUCAUUUAAAGAAAGCGUAAUAGCUCACUGGUCGAGUCGGCCUGCGCGGAAGAUGUAACGGGGCUAAACCAUGCACCGAAGCUGCGGCAGCGACGCUUAUGCGUUGUUGGGUAGGGGAGCGUUCUGUAAGCCUGUGAAGGUGUGCUGUGAGGCAUGCUGGAGGUAUCAGAAGUGCGAAUGCUGACAUAAGUAACGAUAAAGCGGGUGAAAAGCCCGCUCGCCGGAAGACCAAGGGUUCCUGUCCAACGUUAAUCGGGGCAGGGUGAGUCGACCCCUAAGGCGAGGCCGAAAGGCGUAGUCGAUGGGAAACAGGUUAAUAUUCCUGUACUUGGUGUUACUGCGAAGGG
rnacentral:rRNA from 1 species